rnacentral:rRNA from 1 species
CCGAGUAGUCUUCAUAUGGUGACGCUCACGAGAAGCCUGUGCAGCCCAACAACGGGUAGCCCACCACGACUAUAAACAACGAGUUGGCAUUUAAAUGCAAGUCGGCCGCCUGGCUGGCGACACUUUCGAAUUGCGGGGACACCCUAAAGCCCAUCUCUACCAACCGACCUGCGAAAGCGUGUCGGGGUCCGUGUUAACAGCACGGAGUACGGUAACAAUGAGUGGGAUAAAGUCAGCUUUGGUUGACACCAUGGGCAAUCCGCAGCCAAGACCCUAAAGCACAGCCGUGCCAUGGGACAGGUUCACAGACUAAGUGGAAGUGGGUUGGAUGUGAGAACAUCCAGCUUAAGAUAUAGUCGGGCUCUGUACGAAAGUACGGAGGAGUCAAAACCGUUCCGUAGGUGAACCUGCGGAAGGA